rnacentral:rRNA from 1 species
CAGUAGCCGCGGUAAUACGUAGGUGGCAAGCGUUGUCCGGAAUUAUUGGGCGUAAAGGGCUCGCAGGCGGUUUCUUAAGUCUGAUGUGAAAGCCCCCGGCUCAACCGGGGAGGGUCAUUGGAAACUGGGAAACUUGAGUGCAGAAGAGGAGAGUGGAAUUCCACGUGUAGCGGUGAAAUGCGUAGAGAUGUGGAGGAACACCAGUGGCGAAGGCGACUCUCUGGUCUGUAACUGACGCUGAGGAGCGAAAGCGUGGGGAGCGAACAGGAUUAGAUACCCCAGUAGUCCCUGUCCUUAUACA